CCAUAUUUUGAAAUUUAUAGUAAGUAGGGGUACAGGGUGGGCCUGAACUGCAGGGCCGAAUUAGGAGCCUGUAGCAGGUCAGGACUUAGGACCUUGGUGGACCUGCUCCCAUGCAAAACAGGAAGAUCUGGUGGAAAUGAUGGAAAAAACAAGGCCUCUGGAAAUUGUCCUAAGGGCAUGCAUACAUCAAAUGAAGAAAUAAUCUGAGAAAUCCACUCAACCUUACCUCUGAGAGCAGGGCCCACAGGAGGUCUGCCCUGGCAGGUGUGACUAAAAGGGUGGGGCUUCCUGUCAUCUCAGCUCCUUACUGAGGGUCACCGUGUCUCAGCAGGAGGGACCGAACACCAGCACAAGGCUAGAGACUGGAUUCGCGAUGAGUGGUUUCCCUGCCUCGCACAGCCUUCACACAUAGGCUGGAAGUUGCACCCCAAGACAGGCGCAGGUUUCCUGUUCUGUGAUUUGCAUCCCGCCGCAUGGGCCCCCAGAACCCCUCCACCUGCCUGUGGCCUCUCCCGGCCACCCCCAUGCUGUUGGCCUGCCCCAGACCUGCUGGAAAAUGCCACAUGAUGGAGAAUACCACGCACACGCCGACCUGCAUCCCCACGGGCAGAUGGGGUGCCGUGCCAUCUGCGGAGACACCCUAGGUCCCCCCCACACCUCUGAGUCUCAGCUCUCCCAGCCCUGCCCAGUGUCCUCUCAGACCUUGGCAAGCUGCCUCCCUGUGCUACCACCUGGGACUUCUGUCCCCUCCCAGGGCAGGGGCAUGGCUGUGCCACCCCAACCCCACCCAUCACCAGCAGAGUGUGUCUCGGGGAUCUGGACUCCCAGCCACCCUGCCUUGGGAGCCUGGACUGUUUCCAGCUGCAGGCCUGGGUCAGUGAACGGCAUGUCCGGCUGACCUAACACCCACUGGGUGCUGCCUCCAGGCCUGUCCCUCCGGCCCCGCCCUUUCCCGGGCUGAGGGCCAGCACACGUCCCCUCUCCUGCACAUGCCUCCGGUGUCAGAAUGCGUGCGGCGGAUCAUGAUGCCUGUGGUGAGACGCUGAUGUGCUGGCCCCACCUCCGCUGUCCGGGGAUGCACGGUGAGGCUCUGAGGGCAAGCGGCCAGCAUUGGCCGCUUGUAGGAGGGCAGCAUGGGGCACCAGCUCCUGAAGAAGCACCAUCCUGCUUUGGAAGCAAAGCAGAAAUCCUGAGUUCCUGGCAGCCCCACUGCCUGCUCUGGCUGGAAGCCCGGAAAUUCUGCCGGCUCCGUCUGCUGGCCUGCUGGGUGUCUGCUCAGUAUCUGGACUCGCCUACUCUGUACCCCCUGUGACAGUCUCAGUCCAGACCAGCAUGGACUUGCUGGCCGGUUUGCACCCUGCACCCCGUCUUUCUCCACAGAGCACCCGGGGUGACCUUUGUAAGCCUGCAUCUGUUCUAACUUCCUGCUCUGGAAGGGCUCCUCCAGCUCAGCAUUGUCCUGGAGAAAACACUUGGCUUGGGGCCCUUGACAAGUCUGCCCUUGACAAUGUCCCUGGCCCCUUGCACGUGCCCCUCACUGCUCUCUGCCCUGACCCCCUGGGCCCUACAAACCUGCUCCCUCCCAUGCAGCCCCCUACCCUCCCCACUCUGGCACCUGCUGCAGCCAGUCAGCACCCACAUCCUCGGGGCUCUGCUGUGUGAGUAGCCCACAUUGGGCCACGUCCUCUCCACAAUCAGGCCCAGACCACAGUGAGCGGCCCUCAGGAAAUGCAUCUGCUGCAUUUCAGACUCUAGAUCAUUCCUGUUAUUUUCUGUACAAUACCGAGGAGUGGCUGGAAAUGGCGGCAGUGGGGCUGCAGAGCCCUGCACCCUGGGCAGCGAGCAUGUGCCCCUUGGUCCAGCUCCGCUGCAGUCCUCAGUGCACAGUGUCGCCUCGAGGCAGUUAUUUAUUUCCACAGUGAAUGUUAACGUCAAUAAGUCGUAGUGUUUAUUUUCUGGUGCAAUUGUAUUAGUCCAAAUAGAUCUUAGGCUUUUGUGGAAUUAAAACCCUCGAAUUAAGGAGGCGUAGCUCCUUGCUGCACCAGAGGAGGUUCCCCUACAACACCCACUUGCUCUCAUCCCUUAGACCUUAAAACCAUCACUAUUUUCAUAAUCACAUGCAGGUGGCAUUCACUGUGGGGGUUCUGCUUUCUAUACUAAGUAGAACUAAACCUCAAAAAAGCACCUGAUUGGGAUUCUGAGCAACAGUAGGAAGAAACACACAUUUUAGCCAUGAGAUGUGCAGUUUCAAAUAGCCAUGGUAGUGCUCUUUUUUACCUAGUAGUCUUAAGUUUAUAAAUCCAAGCUGUCAUU